UUGAAAUAAGAUUUUAAAUGAGUGCUAAGAGAAUGAUUAAACAAUUAAAAGCUUUCUUUAAUUGAAUAAUUGAAUUUAAUUUUUUAGUGCAAAAGCAAAAAUAAAAAUUAGGGACAAGAAGACCCUAUGAAUUUUUUAUUAAAUUUUAUAAAACUUUAUAUAAAAUUUAAUUUAAUUGGGGUGAUGGAAAAAGAAUAAAUAUCUUUUUUUUAAAAAAAAAAUUGGUUCCGUUUUUAGCGAUUAAAUGAAAAAAAUACUCUAGGGAUAACAGCGUAAUAAUUUUGGAUAGUUCAUAUAGAUAAAAUAGUUUGCGACCUCGAUGUUGGAUUAGGAAUCUUUUUUGGUGAAGAAGUAAAAAAAGAAGU
rnacentral:rRNA from 1 species